AUGUGGCGCGUCUGGCCCAGGUCGCAGUGCGGGUCAUGGGAAGGCCAGGGCUCUACUCGUCGCCCCACGGCCCUGAGAGGAACCUGCGGAUCGCCUCCGCGUGGGCCCCCACCCUUGGCAGAAGCUCACCGGCGACCCACGUGGGCGGCGCCGACCAGUCCCCGAGGGUCCGGCCCAGCCUUCCCGAGAGGCUCGCGCUUGCCCCGUCGGGUUCCUGCCGUCCGGGAGACUCCUAAGCUACGCACUGCGCCGACCGACAGGGGCAGGGGGCUCUGGGACGGGACCGCCCAGGGGACCCCACAGGGGACAGGGACCGGACCGCCCACGCCCACCCCGCCACCCCGCUCCACGCACAGCUGCCCACACACGACACCCUCCAGGCACCGCUCCCCACCAGCAACCGCGUCCCGACACACGAUUCCACAAACGCAGUCCAAAAUGUACACACCGAAGGCGCACACAUAUCCCCACGAGUACGCGCCAUUCGAAAGACACACCACCGUCCGCGGUCACCCACAACUCCACCGCGCAGAGAAACGCGGGCACCCCCGGACACACACGCGCGCGCACAAACACACACGCCAAGAGCCGGAUUCGCCGCGCUCGCCGGUGCACACGCCCGCAGCCCGCCCUUCCCUACCUGCUCCGGCGCAGGACGCGGUCCGCCGGCUUCCCAAGCCCAAGUUCCGCGCCGGCGGCGGCUGCAGCGUACGCGGGCCGCUCCCCGGGACAAGCGUGCCGAGGCCGGGAGGAGUGACUAGGAGCGCGGGCCUCGGUGCGUCCGCAGCUGCCGCGCCUGCCCCGCGCUCAUCGCCGCCCAGAAAGACAAAAGGAAGCCGGCAGCCAGGGAAGGUGCAAGGUGGCGGCGCCCGCCAGUCCGCCAGUCCACCCGUCCGCCGCCAGCCGCCGCCGCCGCCGCCGCCGCCGCGGCCCGCCUGCCAGCUCCGGGAAGGAAGGGAAGCGAAGGCGGGACCCAGAGGCGGGGGACGGGGCGGGGCGCGCGGCCGGAGGCGGGCGCUCAAGUUUUCUGCCGCCCCGCCCCUUCCAGACCCGGCCCCGCCCCUCCAUGCCCCGCCCCCUACACGACACGCCCCCUGCCGGACCUUCAUCGCCCGCUGGGCCCUCGCCGCUCCUGCCCCUCGCAGCUCUUCGGCCCUCGCGGCCCAGCCUAGGCCCUGCUCGGUCCCAGCCCCCAGUGGCUUUUGGGACAGGGGUGGAGCUGGGCACCGGUUCCGCUCCCCUAACCCUUGGCCUCUGGCCUGCGGGUGUAGGAGAGGCCUAGAGGCGGCGCCCGGGAGGGGCCAGCCCUGCCCCGGUGCCCGGCGCCCGCGCCCGCGCCCCCCGCCCCCACCCCGCAGGAAGUGGCCCGGGCGGCCUAGGAAGGGGAAGAGAUGA
rnacentral:lncRNA from 13 species